AACACUGUUAACCUGCGGUACCUGCGGAGGGAUCAUCAAAGGAAAAAACCUUAUGAAAGAGAGGCGGGGGGAAGGGGAAGGAAGGAAGGGGGGGAGAAAUUCCCCUCUUUUUUUUUCCCUCUCUCUCCUCUCUUUUUCUCAAACAAACGAUCACAACUAUAUAAGGAAAAAAAGAAAAGGGUAUUGGUUGGUGGGGGGGGGGAGAAUUUUUCUCUCUGAUAAAAGUGCUUGCCUGAUAAU
rnacentral:misc_RNA from 1 species